GGGAAUCUUCCGCAAUGGACGAAAGUCUGACGGAGCAACGCCGCGUGAGUGAUGAAGGUUUUCGGAUCGUAAAACUCUGUUGUUAGGGAAGAACAAGUACGAGAGUAACUGCUCGUACCUUGACGGUACCUAACCAGAAAGCCACGGCUAACUACGUGCCAGCAGCCGCGGUAAUACGUAGGUGGCAAGCGUUGUCCGGAAUUAUUGGGCGUAAAGCGCGCGCAGGCGGUCCUUUAAGUCUGAUGUGAAAGCCCACGGCUCAACCGUGGAGGGUCAUUGGAAACUGGGGGACUUGAGUGCAGGAGAGAAGAGUGGAAUUCCACGUGUAGCGGUGAAAUGCGUAGAGAUGUGGAGGAACACCAGUGGCGAAGGCGACUCUUUGGCCUGUAACUGACGCUGAGGCGCGAAAGCGUGGGGAGCAAACAG
rnacentral:rRNA from 1 species